CAUAUGAUAUCUAGAAUGGAGGAAUAUAUGAUCCCUUAUCUAAUGGACAAGUCAUUGACAAAGGUCAGAGUUCAUCUACAAGGUCAGAGUUCGACAGAAGCUUUUGAGAGCUACGAUUGCCAGUUGGUUCCUGAAGUCAUACGCAAUAAUAGUUUUAGACUUAUCCAAGUGGGAGACUGUUGGAUUAAUGUCUAAGUCCAUAACUAUAAUUGGUAAGACUUGACCCGACCCGGCAUGGUCCAUUUGGGUUGCAUACCAUCAUGCACUUGGAUAGACUAUAAUGAGAGAAAUAAGACACUUAUGGUUAUUAAUAUAUUAUAAGUUCUAGUAUAUUAAUAAUAAGAAUAAUAAGAUUAUUUAAUUAGUAUUGAUCAAGAAUUAAUCUAGGAUUAAUUAAGUGAUCAAAAGAAGACUAAUUAAAUAUAUGGGUUGAUUGUGUAAAUCAUCCAUACUUGUAUAGUGGGCUAAUGCUCCAUGGAUAAUCAAGUUGGGCUAAAACCCAUAGGAUGGUCCAUGGAUGCUCCAUGGUGUAUUUGUACCCAUGGAUCCAAGGAAAUGGAAAGCCAUGACAAUUAAGAGUUUACCCUAAUUGUGUAACUAUAUAAGCAUCUUAUUAUUGAGGAAAAAUCGGCCACUAGAGAUAGUGAAGAAAGGGCUAGCCGAUUUUGAUGAGUGUAGAAUUCUCUCAAGUCAUUCUAAGUGUUUUGAUGAUUGUGAUUCCAUUUGAGGUGUCACACUUGGGGCACUAGGCACUCAAGCUUCAUGAAGACUUUCUACACCAAAGAGGUAUGUAUUCUAUCUUGCUAUAGUUAUUGUUUUGUAUGCUAGAUUAGGAUAAUACCUUGGAAGUUCUUAUUUGCAUGUAUAAUAGAGAAAACAUAGAUCCAAGGUAUUUAGGGUUGCAUGUACACUUAGGAAGUGUUAGAAUGCUCAAAACCCAACAGUGGUAUCAGAGCCACGGGUUGUUUUCUGUUAUAUUGAUGCAAAUAUUUUAUUUUCAAAGUUGAAAAAAAAAAAAAAAAAAAACAUGAAGUUUGUCAAAUUUUAAGAUAAUUACUUGUUCUUGUGAAAAACUAAUUAUUUGUAAAAUUUGAAUAAUUUGCUUUAUGAGUUGAAUUAGGUCAAAUUUAAUAAAAGAUAAAAUAAUAUGAUUAUUUUAUUAGUUUUAAAAGUUUGAUCUAAAGAGUUUUAUUUUUUGAAACCUCCAUAAGUUAUGGAUAUGAAAAGGUUUUAAAAAAAAAAUUGAUUCAAAGUUUUUUUGGAGUUACAAAAUUUGGUGUUAAUGUUUUAAAGGAUUCCAUAACUUAAGAAUAAGUUAUGGAUCACCAAAAGUUUUUUGUGUUACCUUGUUUUAUGAGUGAAUUUAGAUUAAUGAAUAAAAUUAUGUGAUAGUUGGUUUUAAUCCAAAUUAAUCUAAGAAUUGAUUCUAAAAUGUGUUUUUGUAACUUGUCCUCAAGUUAUAUGAAAAGUCACAUUUAAGAAUCAUAAAACUCAUAAAAAUUGGCAAAGGUUACAAAAAUGAAGAGUCUAGUUCUAAUUAAAUGGUUUUAUGACUCCAUAACUUGUCCUCAAGUUAUGGAGGACCAAGAGUCUCUUCAUUUAAUAAAAUAAAAUAAAAAAAAAAAAAGUGUAACCUUAAUUAAUUCCAUAAGUUAUAAAAUAAAGAAAAGUUAAUUCUUUUAUUAGUUUAAAGUCUUCCAUAACUUGUCCUCAAGUUAUGGAACUUGAAGAGUUUUUGGAUUAAAACUACUUUAAACACAUAAGUUAUGGAAUUAAUUAGUUUUGAAUAGUUUCAAAACUUGCCCUCAAGUUUUGGAAUUUGUAAAGUUUUCACUUAUGAAUACUUUAAUUCCAAGUUAGCCCUUAGAAUUUUAAAAGUUAAAAUUCAACCCUUAUACUUUAUAAUAUUAUAAGUUAAUAAUAUAUAUAUGUAUAAGAGUAAAGUCAGUCUUACCGCUAGUACGCCUCAUUCACGAAGCCGGUCUAUAAGGUGGGUAUAAGGUUGUUGCCUAUAAAAUGGCAACUUAAUGGGUGUCCACUCUCACCCACCGCUUGCUUGACUGGUGGAGGGUCGUUAGCCGAACGGGUUUGACAGGACUAGAAUUCUCCCUUCAUUAAAAGUAUUAAUGAUAAUACUAAGUAACUAAACUCUUAAUAAUACCCAAUCUUAGUUACUUAGGAAAAAUGUGAAUAAGGUGCUAAUCCAUGAAAUUACACUUUACACUUUGUCUAAGUCGUUAGUGGAGCGUGUGUGGUUAACCGGCACACUAACUUGGACUUAACAAGGUAGGUAAAGGGUGACUUAAUAUUUAUCAUAGUAUCGAUGGAGCGUGUGUGGUUAACCGGCACAUCGAUUGAGGGGUAAUUUAUUAAGGGUACCAAGUGAUUUGCAUGGUUACUUCACACCUUGUUUUGUGAUCCUCGGCAUCCCAGUCACAAAACCUGAAGGGCACACUCGAGAUUGAAACAUGCCUUUGAAAAGUUCAAUGAAUCUCAAAGAUCUAGGAGUUUCAAAACCAAUUAAAACCUAAUAAUACAUUUCGUUUAUCUUGGUGGAAAUUGGUGAAUCGUCAUUCACCUACCUUCAAAUAUUUUAUAGCUUGGAUUACGGCAUACCUCUUCUAAGUUAUAAAAUAGUUUGUUGGGUCCUAGCCUUAAUAUUUCAUAUUGGGUGUCAUAUUAAGGACUUUAAAUCAACUAUCUUGAAUAUCUCCCAAAAGAUGUCUGGUUUAGACACCUAUGAUCUUCCCAAAUCUCUUGAAACAAGGUUUCCUAAUGAAGAUGAUGUCCCAUGGAUAUCAUACUUCUUCACCUCUUCAAAUUAUUCUCCCUAACCCACAAGUUCUUGAAAAGUUUAAGGUCACUCAGGCCCUUUUGGCAAGGCAAGGUCUAGGUGUGGUCACAUCUUGGAGAUGUAGUCACAUAUUGACAAGCCGGGAGAGUUGGGUGUCAAAGUCUUGAGAAAGUUGGUGGUUCAACUACUUUCUAAGUCACAUAGUGAGUUCUUUUGGAACACCUAUGAAAAAGACUAUGACAAGACCCUUAAUGAUCUUAUCUAUUUGUUAAGAUCAACUUCCUAAAACUUUAUGGACAUUGACAAUGAUGACAUUGGAUAUCCAGUAAAGCAUUCUCUUCCCAAUGGAAAGGGAUCGGCUAUAGUCAACUCGGUUGACCAAAUGGUAAAGAGAAAAGCUAAGUCUGUGAUAGUCCUGUGUACCAUUAUCAAAGGGUCCAUAUGUUUGUAUUGCCAAAGAAAGGGCAUUGGUUGCGAAGCUGCCAAAUUUACCUAAGGAUGUUAAAGUCAAUAAGUUUGACUCUACUUCAGGUAAAAUCCACUAUCUAACUCUGUUAAGUUUCUAUUCUGAGAUUCUUGAUACAUGAUGUGACCGGGUCGCAUGGUGAUGGUUUAAGAAUCAAAGGAAAGUGAAGAAACUUAAAGGAAGAAUAUGCUGAAUCUGAUCGCAUAGAUGGAUUUCUAUCGCAUAGUUUGAAAAAUCGGAUUCUUGAGCUACUUCUUAGGAGUUAUGAGAUAUUGCUUAGGAAUAGAUAACAACAAGUUUUCAUAUGGAUUGUAAGGAUAGUUUUUCCGCAAAGUUUUAAAAUAAAAGGAAAUUUUUGAUUUUAUUUAUUUUAAAAUAUCCUUACAAUGGCAUCUGUGGAAAUUUUUGUUGCUUAUAAGAUUCCAUUAGUAGCAAGAGUGGAAGUAUGAAAUUGAUUCUUUCAUUUGUGGUAAUGUCUAAAUUUACCAAAUAAGGAAAGAUUCUCAUCACCCAAGUUUCAAUUGGACCGGAACUUGGAAUCAUGCAAGUUGUAUAGCAUGAUGAAUGAGAACUUUCAAGUUUUGGAAAAUUAAGACUAAUUACUUGUUCACAUGGAUGUGUGAGUCAAGUAAAGGACUUAGGGAUCGAGUACACAUUCUUGUGCACUGAUUAAGUCCACCACUAAAGAUCGAUAAGAAGAAUCAAAUAAGGCAGAAGGAUAAAAGUUUCUCAAAUCUGAAAAGAUGGGAGAGUACUUUAGUAUCAGUUUUGUGAUCAUCUUAAUGAUUAAGAAACCAUAUCAAAAUUAGUUCUCUAAGGAAAUCUUAGUGCAUUCUUAUGACUAAGAAGAGGAACUUGAAUUGUUGAAAUGGUUAAAUCAAGAAGAUGAGUCAUACUUCGUUCCAAUACAAGUCUUAGAGUCAUACUCCAAGAUUGUCAUUUGAGUGACAUGUCUUAAAGAAGGUUUAAAACACUUGUCAAAUGUAAGAGUAAAAGUUUUCUACUCUUGUACAUUUGAAAUUGGUAAGUUGUGAUGUUUUGGAUAAAACAAAGACCAACUUAGGCCAAUUGGGUAAAGUGUUUUUCUUGAUUAGAAUCCGCACUAUCUCUUGGAUGUUUGACAAGGGAGUCUUAUAUGUCAAGAGGACAGUGGGAGUCUUAAAGGUCUUGAAAGUCUCAAGAACUAAUCAAGAAUAAAACCUGAAGUUCUUCACUAGCACACGACUUGAGGUUCAUAACCUAUCGUGUUGACAUAUUCUGUGCCCAUUCCAGUUAAAGUUGGCUUUGCAUAUGAGUUCUUAGAGUUCUCAAUUUGUUGCACAACAACUUGGAAGCAAUGGCAGGCCCUUGAGCUGCCAGGUGGCAAGAAAUUAAGAUUGAGUUCAGUCCAUAUGAGUUUGGAUUUGUCAUUAUCCUUGUCUUGUGACUAUGGUUUUGACAAUUCACAUGGAUAAGAACACAUACACCAUUAAAUCUAAGUGUCAUAAGGUUUCUCUCCGAUUCAUGAAAAUGAUGGUGAGGAAACACUUUCACUAAGUAGAUUUUAGCUAGAUAGCAAUUGUGAUAUUUGCAUUCUCAAAGUCGUUAGUGGAGCGCGUGUGGUUAACCGGCACACUAAUUUGGACUUGUGAGAAGUGGCAAAAAGGUCUAAACAUUAUGAUUACGGCAUCCCUCUUCAUAAUUGUUUAGAUACACAAGUGUGCUAUCUAAGGGAAGGUGUAUGAUUUUGAUAAAGUUUUAUCAAAACAAUCUAGUAUCAGAAAUCUGAACUUUGGUAAGAAAGUCAAUGAAGUAUUGAUUUCUAGAAGUCCAGCUGAUUUCUGAGUACAUGUCAAAGCUAGUGGGAGCAUAAGUGUUAUGCUAAUAAUCAUCAUGUUAGUGGGAGCAUGAUAAUUAUGAUAAGUAUUGCAAGUUAGCAAUGUUAAUUAUAGAAAACAAAAGUUUCAAUUGGGAAAAAGUUGUUUUGCUAUAAUUAAGGGAGAGGAAAUUAUACUUCAUCUCAAAUCUAUAAGCUUAGAUCGUGAGGUUUUAAUCAUUUAGUCAAGGAUAUAUAUGAAUUUCAUGUUGGAAUGGCUCAACAUAAGGAAAUUCUGUAUAUGGGUCCAUUAUUUGCGUUCUAAAAUUCGAUUAUGAUUACGGCAUCCCUUUUCAUAAUCUGAAUUAUGAGAACUUGGCAAAUUGAAAUGGAAAUAUUAUAGCAAAAGACUGGUUUAGUCUUUAUGUGAGACAUCAUGAAUCGUGUCCCAUAUGCUUCGGAUAUAGGAUCGAUUACAUGUGCUAUAUUCAUCCGUUCUAAAAUUUUCCAAAUGCCUGGGGCAUUAAGAAGGGAAAAGGUUUAGAACUGGAUAUGACUAAAAGGAUUAAACAAUUGUCGAGGACAAUCUAAGGUUUACCAAAGAUUGGUUGCUCAAGGACAGUUGGAAGUAUAGUGAUAAUUCUGGAAGGACCAUAUUGACAUAAUCUGUAAGGAGGCAACUCUUGUUCAGAAGUGAUAGUCAAAAUGGAAUCUGGAAAUGUUUCAAAGUUAGAAUUUUCAAUCUGUUUAAGAUUAGGAAACUUAAUGCAAGAAGGAUGUUUCCAAGGAGCUGAUCUCCUUUGGAAUACUCUGUAAUGAUUGUUGUCAAGUCUUUCUGACUUUGUGCAUAAUCAUUACAAGAGGAUCAAUGCAUAUAAGUUUAGAAUCUAACAGAUUUCAGUAAAUGGCAUGAAUUUGGAAUUCUUGCAUUUGCAGUAAGGAUUUGGGAGUGUGAAAAGAGAAUCAUUGAAGUUAUGUUCAAUUGAUCUAGUUCACAAAGUAAAGAUCAUAGACAAACAUAGUAUGCAUACUUGGUGUAUGGCAUGACUAGUGUUAAGAAAACAUAGUGUACAUGCUUGGAGCAUGGGACAACUAUUGUUUUAAAUUCAAGAAUAAAGUUGAUAGCUGAAACAGUAUACAAUGAAUAAUGUGUAAUCAUAUGGUGAUAAAUAAAAGGUGUUUUAUUUAUGUUCAUAGGUUUUGAUACCAUAUUGGAUUCAAUUAUUAUUGUGUUUCACUUUGCAUGUUUUGACUUCCCGAAUAAACUAGGUUAUUCUUCCGGAAUGACUAAGUUAUUCAAACCAUCCACAGUCGGUCAUAUGUUGGAAGUAGAUAUGAAUUAAGACUGUCAUGGGUUGGCUUGUAGAGGUCUAAGGUGUUGGACAAAGGGCUACAACACUCAUGAGUGCUCAUAAGUUCUGAGUAUUGGAUUCAACCCGCGCUCAUUGGAAUCACUUCAUGGAUUUUAUCACGAGUGAUCAUGAGACGAUAAUAUCUUAUAUUCUUCAAACCUAGAGAUAUGAGUUGUUACUAUGAGUUGAUAGUACAUUGAUUGCACGAAACCGCAUUUGGUAACUCGGUGUUAUAAAACGUGCCUUUGUGUAUGAUUCAACAAGUAGUAGAACAAGCCAUAUGAGUCGAAGUUUAUCCAUUCCUUUUACCUUCGGGAUAAAAGCGAUAUCUGUGGGCCCCUCGAUGAUUUGAUGAUGACAAAUGGAAGUGCUCGGCCGGGCCAGGACUGAUUUGAUUUGUUCAAUUAGUCAGUCGUCAUAAAUCGGAAAUCGGGAAACAACAAAUGGACAGAGAGAAUGAUUAUAAUCCAUGUCUCAGUCCAUAUGAUAUCUAGAAUGGAGGAAUAUAUGAUCCCUUAUCUAAUGGACAAGUCAUUGACAAAGGUCAGAGUUCAUCUACAAGGUCAGAGUUCGACAGAAGCUUUUGAGAGCUACGAUUGCUAGUCGGUUCUUGAAGUCAUACGCAAUAACAGUUUUAGACUUAUCCAAGUGGGAGACUGCUGGAUUAAUGUCUAAGUCCAUAACUAUAAUUGGUAAGACUUGACCCGACCCGGCAUGGUCCAUUUGGGUUGCAUGGCAUCAUGCACUUGGAUAGACUAAAUGAGAGAAAUAAGACACUUAUG
rnacentral:lncRNA from 1 species